rnacentral:rRNA from 1 species
CGCUGGCGGCGUGCCUAAUACAUGCAAGUAGAACGCUGAGGUUUGGUGUUUACACUAGACUGAUGAGUUGCGAACGGGUGAGUAACGCGUAGGUAACCUGCCUCAUAGCGGGGGAUAACUAUUGGAAACGAUAGCUAAUACCGCAUAAGAGUAAUUAACACAUGUUAGUUAUUUAAAAGGAGCAAUUGCUUCACUGUGAGAUGGACCUGCGUUGUAUUAGCUAGUUGGUGAGGUAAAGGCUCACCAAGGCGACGAUACAUAGCCGACCUGAGAGGGUGAUCGGCCACACUGGGACUGAGACACGGCCCAGACUCCUACGGGAGGCAGCAGUAGGGAAUCUUCGGCAAUGGACGGAAGUCUGACCGAGCAACGCCGCGUGAGUGAAGAAGGUUUUCGGAUCGUAAAGCUCUGUUGUUAGAGAAGAACGUUGGUAGGAGUGGAAAAUCUACCAAGUGACGGUAACUAACCAGAAAGGGACGGCUAACUACGUGCCAGCAGCCGCGGUAAU